rnacentral:rRNA from 1 species
CACGUAGGGUGCGAGCGUUGUCCGGAAUUAUUGGGCGUAAAGAGCUCGUAGGCGGUGUGUCGCGUCGGCCGUGAAAACCUGCAGCUUAACUGUGGGCGUGCGGUCGAUACGGGCAUCACUGGAGUUCGGCAGGGGAGACUGGAAUUCCUGGUGUAGCGGUGAAAUGCGCAGAUAUCAGGAGGAACACCGGUGGCGAAGGCGGGUCUUUGGGCAGUAACUGACGCUGAGGAGCGAAAGCGUGGGGAGCAAACAGG